rnacentral:rRNA from 1 species
GAUGAACGCUGGCGGCGUGCUUAACACAUGCAAGUCGAACGGAAAGGCCCAAGCUUGCUUGGGUACUCGAGUGGCGAACGGGUGAGUAACACGUGGGUGAUCUGCCCUGCACUUUGGGAUAAGCUUGGGAAACUGGGUCUAAUACCGGAUAGGACCACUUCUUGGAUGUUGUGGUGGAAAGUUUUUUCGGUGUGGGAUGAGCUCGCGGCCUAUCAGCUUGUUGGUGGGGUAAUGGCCUACCAAGGCGUCGACGGGUAGCCGGCCUGGGAGGGUGUACGGCCACAAUGGGGCUGAGAUACGGCCCAGACUCCUACGGGAGGCAACAGUGGGGAAUAUUGCACAAUGGGCGCAAGCCGGAUGCAGCGACGCCGCGUGGGGGAUGACGGGCUUCGGGUUGUAAACUCCUUUCGCUAGGGACGAAGCGUUUUGUGACGGUACCUGGAGAAGAAGCACCGGCUAACUACGUG